UACGUAGGGUGCAAGCGUUGUCCGGAAUUAUUGGGCGUAAAGAGCUCGUAGGCGGUUUGUCGCGUCUGCUGUGAAAACUCGGGGCUCAACUCCGAGCUUGCAGUGGGUACGGGCAGACUAGAGUGCGGUAGGGGAGACUGGAAUUCCUGGUGUAGCGGUGGAAUGCGCAGAUAUCAGGAGGAACACCGGUGGCGAAGGCGGGUCUCUGGGCCGCAACUGACGCUGAGGAGCGAAAGCAUGGGGAGCGAACAGG
rnacentral:rRNA from 1 species